UGUUAUCUUAAUAAAUGGUUCAAAACCCCGUUGAAGUGCUGACUUUUUCAGGCUUCUGUAUGCAAUUGCUUAAAUUGCGUUCAUAACUUCGAUGAUCAUAGCUUCCUUAAUUU